ACGAACGCUGGCGGCGUGCUUAACACAUGCAAGUCGUACGGUAAGGCCCUUUCGGGGGUACACUAGUGGCGAACGGGUGAGUAACACGUGAGUAACCUGCCCACAACUUUGGGAUAACGCUAGUAAACUGGUGCUAAUACUGGAUAUGUGCUCCUGCUGCAUGGUGGGGGUUGGAAAGCUCCGGCGGUUGUGGAUGGACUCGCGGCCUAUCAGCUUGUUGGUGGGGUAGUGGCCUACCAAGGCGGCGACGGGUAGCCGGCCUGAGAGGGUGAACGGCCACAUUGGGAAUGAGAUACGGCCCAGACUCCUACGGGGGGCAGCAGGGGGGAAUAUUGCAAAAUGGGCGCAAGCCUGAUGCAGCAACGCCGCGUGCGGGAUGACGGCCUUCGGGUUGUAAACCGCUUUCAGCAGGGAAGAAGCUUUUUGUGACGGUACCUGCAGAAGAAGCACCGGCUAACUACGUG
rnacentral:rRNA from 1 species